rnacentral:rRNA from 1 species
AUACGGAGGGUGCAAGCGUUAAUCGGAAUUACUGGGCGUAAAGGGUGCGUAGGCGGCUUGAUAAGUCGGAUGUGAAAGCCCCGGGCUUAACCUGGGAAUUGCAUUCGAUACUGUCAGGCUAGAGUAUGUCAGAGGUUGGCGGAAUUCCUGGUGUAGCGGUGAAAUGCGUAGAUAUCAGGAGGAACACCAGUGGCGAAGGCGGCUAACUGGGGCAAUACUGACGCUGAGGCACGAAAGCGUGGGGAGCAAACAGGAUUAGAAACCCUAGUAGUCC